rnacentral:misc_RNA from 1 species
GAUGAAGAACGUAGCGAAAUGCGAUAAGUAAUGUGAAUUGCAGAAUUCAGUGAAUCAUCGAAUCUUUGAACGCACCUUGCGCUCCUUGGUAUUCCGAGGAGCAUGCCUGUUUGAGUGUCAUGAAAUUCUCAACCUUUUCAGCUUUCUUUGUUGAUCAGGCUUGGAUGUGGGAGUAUGCGGGCUUCUCAGAAGUCGGCUCUCCUGAAAUGCAUUAGCGGGACCUUUGUUGCCUGGCUUUGGUGUGAUAAUUAUCUACGCCAUUGUAGUCAAGCAGCUUAAAAUGAGGUUUCAGCUUCUAACCGUCUCCCCUGAGACAACUUUUUGACAAUUCGACCUCAAAUCAGGUAGGACUACCCGCUGAACUUAAGCAUAUCAAUAAGCGGAGGA